AAAUCGCAAAUAUGGCGCCGGAGCGGCUGCGGAGCCGGGCGCUCUCCGCCUUCAAGUUGCGGGGCUUGCUGCUCCGUGGUGAAGCUAUUAAGUACCUCACAGAAGCUCUUCAGUCUAUCAGUGAAUUAGAGCUUGAAGAUAAACUGGAAAAGAUAAUUAAUGCAGUUGAGAAGCAACCCUUGUCAUCAAACAUGAUUGAACGAUCUGUGGUGGAAGCAGCAGUCCAGGAAUGCAGUCAGUCUGUUGAUGAAACUAUAGAGCACGUUUUCAAUAUCAUAGGAGCAUUUGAUAUUCCACGCUUUGUGUACAAUUCAGAAAGAAAAAAAUUUCUUCCUCUGUUAAUGACCAACCACCCUGCACCAAAUUUAUUUGGAACACCAAGAGAUAAAGCAGAGAUGUUUCGUGAGCGAUAUACCAUUUUGCACCAGAGGACCCACAGGCAUGAAUUAUUUACUCCUCCGGUGAUAGGUUCUCACCCUGAUGAAAGCGGAAGCAAAUUCCAGCUUAAAACAAUAGAAACCUUAUUGGGUAGUACAACCAAAAUCGGAGAUGCGAUUGUUCUUGGAAUGAUAACGCAGUUAAAAGAGGGAAAAUUUUUUCUGGAAGAUCCUACUGGAACAGUCCAACUAGACCUUAGUAAAGCUCAGUUCCAUAGUGGUUUAUACACAGAGGCAUGCUUUGUCUUAGCAGAAGGUUGGUUUGAAGAUCAAGUGUUUCAUGUCAAUGCCUUUGGAUUUCCACCCACUGAGCCCUCUAGUACUACUAGGGCAUACUAUGGAAAUAUUAAUUUUUUUGGAGGUCCUUCUAAUACAUCUGUGAAGACUUCUGCAAAACUAAAACAGCUAGAAGAGGAGAAUAAAGAUGCUAUGUUUGUGUUUUUAUCUGAUGUUUGGUUGGACCAGGUGGAAGUAUUGGAAAAACUUCGCAUAAUGUUUGCUGGUUAUUCACCAGCACCUCCAACCUGCUUUAUUCUGUGUGGUAAUUUUUCAUCUGCACCAUAUGGAAAAAAUCAAGUUCAAGCUUUGAAAGAUUCCCUAAAAACUUUGGCAGAUAUAAUAUGUGAAUACCCAGAUAUUCACCAAAGUAGUCGUUUUGUGUUUGUACCUGGUCCAGAGGAUCCUGGAUUUGGUUCCAUCUUACCAAGGCCACCACUUGCUGAAAGCAUCACUAAUGAAUUCAGACAAAGGGUACCAUUUUCAGUUUUUACUACUAAUCCUUGCAGAAUUCAGUACUGUACACAGGAAAUUACUGUCUUCCGUGAAGACUUAGUAAAUAAAAUGUGCAGAAACUGCGUCCGUUUUCCUAGCAGCAAUUUGGCUAUUCCUAAUCACUUUGUAAAGACUAUCUUAUCCCAAGGACAUCUGACUCCCCUACCUCUUUAUGUCUGCCCAGUGUAUUGGGCAUAUGACUAUGCUUUGAGAGUGUAUCCUGUGCCCGAUCUACUUGUCAUUGCAGACAAAUAUGAUCCUUUCACUACGACAAAUACCGAAUGCCUCUGCAUAAACCCUGGCUCUUUUCCAAGAAGUGGAUUUUCAUUCAAAGUUUUUUAUCCUUCUAAUAAGACAGUAGAAGAUAGAUCAAGAACUGUUUUCUGGGGGAAAUCUCAGGCCAGCUGUGGAGGUGAGCUAGUUCUCUUACAGGCCAACUCCUGACGAUGGUCUCACUCUUCUGAGAGGUCAGUCCUGCCCUCCGUAUGGUUGCUUCUUAGGUACUUUCCCUUAAAUUGACAGUGAGGGAGCUGUGUGUGAGUUUGGUGAUGGUAUGGGGUUGGAGUUACGGAAAGGUCUUGAGAAAGAAGAAAAUAAUCACCUAGUGGGUAGUAGUUUUCACAGGGUGAUCUACAUAGAUCACCCACAUCAGAAUCCUCUGGGGUCCUUGUUAAAAAUGUUAAGUUAGGAUUUUGCCCCAGACUCAUCAAAUGACUUUCUAAUUGUAAAGAAUAGGCAUUUUAAAUAUUAUUUCCUGUAAUUUCAGGCAUCCUAACAUGUGAUUUCUCAGAUAACUGUAUUUUGAAAAAGUUCCCACCACUGGUUAAGAACAAGUGCCCAGGCAGGGCACGGUGGCUCAUGCCUGUAAUCCCAGGACUUUGGGAGGCCGAGCAAACUUCAAGGCUUUUGAGAUUCUUAAAGAUCAUCUGAAGAAAAUUCAUCAGUUUUCUGCUUAACUCUAUAUCUUAUGUGAUUCUGAUAUUACAAUAAAAUUAUGGUAAACUUUA